AGAGUUUGAUCCUGGCUCAGGAUGAACGCUAGCUACAGGCUUAACACAUGCAAGUCGAGGGGCAGCAUGAUCGAAGCUUGCUUUGAUUGAUGGCGACCGGCGCACGGGUGAGUAACGCGUAUCCAACCUUCCCUAUAGUAGAGAAUAGCCCGGCGAAAGUCGGAUUAAUGCUCUAUGUUGUAUUUAGAAGACAUCUGAAGAAUACCAAAGGUUUACCGCUAUAGGAUGGGGAUGCGUCUGAUUAGGUUGUUGGCGGGGUAACGGCCCACCAAGCCUACGAUCAGUAGGGGUUCUGAGAGGAAGGUCCCCCACAUUGGAACUGAGACACGGUCCAAACUCCUACGGGAGGCAGCAGUGAGGAAUAUUGGUCAAUGGACGCAAGUCUGAACCAGCCAAGUAGCGUGCAGGAUGACGGCCCUAUGGGUUGUAAACUGCUUUUAUACAGGGAUAAAGUGAGGGACGUGUCCCUUUUUGUAGGUACUGUAUGAAUAAGGACCGGCUAAUUCCGUGCCAGCAGCCGCGGUAAUACGGAAGGUCCGGGCGUUAUCCGGAUUUAUUGGGUUUAAAGGGAGCGCAGGCGGGUUAUUAAGCGUGUUGUGAAAUGCGGCGGCUCAACCGUCGAAUUGCAGCGCGAACUGGUUACCUUGAGUGAGUACGACGUCAGCGGAAUUCGUGGUGUAGCGGUGAAAUGCUUAGAUAUCACGAAGAACCCCGAUUGCGAAGGCAGCUGACGAGUCCUUAACUGACGCUAAUGCUCGAAAGUGCGGGUAUCGAACAGGAUUAGAUACCCUGGUAGUCCGCACGGUAAACGAUGGAUGCCCGCUGUUUGCGAUAUACUGUGAGCGGCCAAGAGAAAUCGUUAAGCAUCCCACCUGGGGAGUACGCCGGCAACGGANAAACUCAAAGGAAUUGACGGGGGCCCGCACAAGCGGAGGAACAUGUGGUUUAAUUCGAUGAUACGCGAGGAACCUUACCCGGGCUUGAACUGCAGCAGACGGAUCUAGAGAUAGUGAUCUCUCUCGGGGCUGCUGUGGAGGUGCUGCAUGGUUGUCGUCAGCUCGUG
rnacentral:rRNA from 1 species